rnacentral:rRNA from 1 species
ACCUAAGAGAUUAGGCGUUCCCUUCGGGGACGGAAUGACAGGUGGUGCAUGGUUGUCGUCAGCUCGUGUCGUGAGAUGUUGGGUUAAGUCCCGCAACGAGCGCAACCCUUAUUGUCAGUUGCCAGCAUUUAGUUGGGCACUCUGGCGAGACUGCCGGUGACAAACCGGAGGAAGGUGGGGAUGACGUCAAAUCAUCAUGCCCCUUAUGACCUGGGCUACACACGUGCUACAAUGGACGGUACAACGAGUCGCGAAACCGCGAGGUCAAGCUAAUCUCUUAAAGCCGUUCUCAGUUCGGAUUGUAGGCUGCAACUCGCCUACAUGAAGUUGGAAUCGCUAGUAAUCGUGGAUCAACAUGCCAACGGUGAAUACGUUCCCGGGUCUUGUACACACCGA